rnacentral:tRNA from 1 species
GCGCUCGUAGUAUAGGGGUAGUAUGUCAGGUUCCCAACCUGACGGCGCGGGUUCAAUUCCCGCCGGGCGCA